CCUAUCAAACACGUUGCCCACCCCGAGAGCAAGUAGGUCUCUAUAGAAUGAGCUUCUGAGAAAUUAGUUCUUAGGUUGCAGAACAAGGAAGGAGGAGACUGGUUCUCUGAAGAACGUUGAUCUGCUGGGCUGUCUCCAAGUUAGUUGAAGUCACUGUCAUAUUUUACAAGCCUUCCAAUCAAACCACAGAAUUAUCAAAAGUAACGAUUUCUUUACAAUCCUAAUGGAAAGCUCUGGGGCCAUCUGGAGUCCAUACCUGUGAAACACACAUUGAAGAUCUCAAAUGCGCCCCUGGCAGGAGCAAGGUGUCGCCAAGUGCUUUUGUGACAGUGCAUAUGUUAGUCAACUUGAUGGUGUCUGAAGGUCUCUUAAGCUUACACCAUACACAAAGAUAAACUCGAAAUGGAUAAAAGACCUCAACGUGAGGCAGGAAUCUAUCAAAACCCU